rnacentral:lncRNA from 1 species
AAAAAGGCGAUUAAAUAAAAACUUAAGCUAGUGCUCAAACUCUUUUUUCCUUUCUGGAAGUUAAUCUAGGGCUCGACCUCUCCCCACCGGAGCGCAAGCAGACCUGCAAUCCAAAGCCAAAGCAAUCCAAAGCCGAAGUAGCGCAGACCUGCAAUCCAAAGCCCUAGAUUAACUUCCAGAAUCCUACCUCGCAGACCUGCAAUCCAAAGCCGAAGCAGCGCGACAAGCGGAGGAAGAAAAGCCUGAAGAAGAAGAUGACGAAGAGGGACAGAGAAAGGGAAAGAGAGGCGGCGCUAAAGAGUACGACGAUGAUGGAGAUCUCACCAUUUGUCGUGUGAGUUUAGAUUCGAUUCAUCAUUUUAUAUUUUUCUUGGAGUAUUAGAAUUAAUUAAAUGAUUUUUUAAGUGUUUAUAAGUAAAAUGGUUUAGAUAUAGGCACUCAAAUUUUCAAUUAGAGUUUUAGACCAUAUAUAUAUAUACUUCAAUAGUCUAUCCAAAUUGCCAUGUUCUUUGGGGCUGAAACUUAUGGGCCUUGUAAUUCAUGUUUAACUUAUUCCAUCUUCUCCUUUUCUGAAAUUCAAAUUGUCAUUGGUGAAUGGAAUUUGUGAUUUACCGAUCUAAUGUUUUGUAUGACCUGGGUGCAAAAUCUUUGAAGUGAAGGCAAACUUUCCCCCUUGCAUUAGUGUACAUUUAUUCUCUUGGAAUUUAAGAUCCAUAUCAAGCAGUUAUCAACUUCAUACUCCUUCUUGCUAUUGGUUUUACUGAAUGGUCCAUCUUAGAUCGAUAUCUGAUGUAAAUUUGCACUUGCACGGUCUGUAUGCUAUGAUAUUCGAUGGUCACCUGAGGAAGAUGUGCUAUUAUGUGAGGUAAAAUGAUAAUGCUAUGUUAUUAUUACACUUUCUUUCUUCAACUACUAAUGCUUUACCUUCCACUUGUAUGAUUCUCUAGCCAGAAAAACAAACCUUAUUUAUUGUUAGUUGAG